CCCUGCUGCAGCCCGCUGACGCGGUGGAGGCUGCGGCGGACCUUCAGCGAUGCGAUCCUCCCCCCGGCUGCGCCCGCAAGGUCAGAAACAACUGUGCAUUGAGACACUCUACUGUUGAGAACACCAAUUCAAAACCUAAUCUGACGCAAGAUUUAUUUAUGAGAGAAAUAUUGUGGUGUGGAACAUGAGUGUGACGGAUGACUUUGUUAGUUCACUUGGCACCAGUCUACAAGAUGGCCAAGAGGUUGGAAACAACAAUAGGUCCUCUGAUGGAGACGCUAAUGCUAAUAAGAUCCAAGUUGAGGACAAGAAAGGGACAGCAGGGUUUAGGACAUUGUCUCCUUUGCGGUCUUGUAUAGAAGAGCAAGACAGGAUCAUCGUCUGGGGAACAGUUUCCCAGUGUGAUGACCCAGAUCUGGCUGAGUUUGAGAUGCUCGAAUGCCAGGAGCUGGAGGCCUACUUAGCAGAAGAGGACAAGGCACUUGCAAAAGCUUCAGGAACUGCAGAAGUAGCAGAUCUGUCCAAAAGUCUGAAUGCCACUGAAGCAACAUCAGGCUGUUGUACCAUUGAAAACAGUGUGGAAGGGGCGCAUCCAGGGAAUGAAGAGACUACUACUACACAUGCUACACAAAUCAUGGUCCAGAAUGGCAGCUUGGAAAAUGUCUUCCUUUCUCGCCUUCCCACAAUGUCCACAAGCCAAACACAAGAGAACCCAACAUUCGCCUCCAAUGCAGACCCCAGCAUUUCCAAGCAGUCAGCAACUCCUGCUGAAAUAAGCACAAGAUACAGCACAGGUGUCAAACUGAAUUAUGGCUCUACCAUUUUGCCCAAGACACCUUUUGUAGAAGCACAAGAAAAGCGGUCAGGUCCAGAUCCAUGUGAGCUGAGAAUUGGAGAAGAUUCCAAGCAGUCCAGUACCACUGGCGCUGUGCAGAGUUCUCAUGGGCAUUACUGCUUAGAACCCAAGUUUACGGAUUUGAAAAAGAAUCCUUCCAAAGCAAACGAGAAAGUUGCUGCCACGCACUCAGUUCCACCUACCUAUAAAAAACAGAAUUCUUUUGAAAGGACUUGUGGGGCAAGCCCAACCAGCUUGGAGAAAAGAAAGCCUUGGGGAAGUCCUUCCCGAUCAGCCACACCCCCAUCACCCAGGUUCACCAUGACUAACAGGAGGCAAACCCUCUCAUCUCCAGCAAAAACAGCAAGCAGCAGAGCUCCAAGCGAGGAACAUAGUGUCUCCCCUCAAAAGGUUAUCAGCAGUGCCAAGCCUUCCACCAAGGGCUGUCUGAACAGCAGUAUCCCAAAACCCAUUCCUCCUCAACAGCCACAGAGAACAGAGACUGAGAAAAAGAGCAUUAAGCCCAAAAAUGUGCGUCCAAAAAUCAUCACAUUCAUUCCAAGGAGUCCUCAGGUGAGGCCGUUUGGUCAUGAGAUCCAAAAGCCCUCUUACUAUGGCCAGGAGUUGGUAGUAACAGGCAUCAGGCCUCCCAGUCAUACAGUCCCACAUAGACUGGCUAACAAAUCUGAGAGCUUCCAUGGAGAAUUGCGGGACAGAUAUAUGAACGAGGCUACAAGGCCACAGCUAGGAGUUGGUGCUGUUGCCAGGCAACCUGGUACAACGAGCAAGAUGAUUGUAACAGGUCAGAGGUCAACUCUGAGCUUCAGCCAUCCACCUCCAGGGGGCCCAGCCACUUUUUGUCAGGAUUAUGCUGGUAAGAAAGAACACACCUACAGUUAUUUUUCUUAUUCCGUGCUUGAUAUGUGGCUUUUCCUCUCCAUUCUCUGUGAUUAA
ensembl:lncRNA